rnacentral:lncRNA from 1 species
CAUCAUGUGCAUCCCAAGACACCCUGGCAGACGACAUAAGGCCUGGGGACGACAGAGAAAUGCUGAGCUCUGCAGAUGGUGAAAAUGAUCAAGGAGCUGCACUUCAGCAAUGCCAAGGCUGCAGUAGAAGCAAGGAGGCUGUGCUCGAGAUGGAAGCGAAAGAUGCCAACCUGCAGAAAGAAGUUUCAAGGCUG